rnacentral:misc_RNA from 1 species
AAAAAAAAAAGGGAAGAAAUAAGAGUGAAUUGCUGGAAAGUCCUUUGUAUCAACUGUGUUGGAAAUAAUCAACAUGGAUUAUGCAACUAAGCUAUUGGUCUCUUAUUUAUUUGUGCUGCAACAGUUGUUCCUGGCCUUGUGAGAUUAUUAUUUUUGCCUGUUUAUGAUAGACUACCUCUUGCUGUGGUUCAUGUGUAAUUACUCAGUAUGUUCCACUCUUAUUUGAUAUAAGUCUGUAUUCUGUCAUGAUUGAGUCAGUGUUCACCACGAGAUGAUUGCAGGUUUUUGGAGGUUCUAAAUAAGAGGCUGAACUCUGUUAGAG